GACGAACGCUGGCGGCGUGCCUAAUACAUGCAAGUCGAGCGGAAGUUGGAGAGCUUGCUCUUCAACUUUAGCGGCGGACGGGUGAGUAACACGUGGGCAACCUGCCCUGCAGAUCGGGAUAACUCCGGGAAACCGGUGCUAAUACCGAAUAGUUUUCGCCACCUCCUGGUGGCGUACGGAAAGACGGUUUCGGCUGUCACUGCAGGAUUGGCCCGCGGCGCAUUAGCUAGUUGGUGGGGUAACGGCCCACCAAGGCGGCGAUGCGUAGCCGACCUGAGAGGGUGAGCGGCCACACUGGGACUGAGACACGGCCCAGACUCCUACGGGAGGCAGCAGUAGGGAAUCUUCCGCAAUGGACGAAAGUCUGACGGAGCAACGCCGCGUGAGUGACGAAGGUUUUCGGAUCGUAAAACUCUGUUGUGAGGGAAGAACAAGUACCAACUAACUACUGGUACCUUGACGGUACCUCACCAGAAAGCCACGGCUAACUACGUGCCAGCAGCCGCAGUAAUAC
rnacentral:rRNA from 1 species